UUUCCCCRKYCCCNNNCRUGUAAAACGACGGCCAGUGAAUUCGAGCUCGGUACCUCGCGAAUGCAUCUAGAUUCCUACGGGAGGCAGCAGUAGGGAAUCUUCCGCAAUGGACGAAAGUCUGACGGAGCAACGCCGCGUGAGUGAUGAAGGUUUUCGGAUCGUAAGACUCUGUUGUUAGGGAAGAACAAGUGCCAUAGUAACUGAUGGCACCUUGACGGUACCUAACCAGAAAGCCACGGCUAACUACGUGCCAGCAGCCGCGGUAAUACGUAGGUGGCAAGCGUUGUCCGGAAUUAUUGGGCGUAAAGCGCUCGCAGGCGGUUCUUUAAGUCUGAUGUGAAAUCUUACGGCUCAACCGUAAACGUGCAUUGGAAACUGGGGAACUUGAGUGCAGAAGAGGAGAGUGGAAUUCCACGUGUAGCGGUGAAAUGCGUAGAGAUGUGGAGGAACACCAGUGGCGAAGGCGACUCUCUGGUCUGUAACUGACGCUGAGGAGCGAAAGCGUGGGGAGCGAACAGGAUUAGAUACCCUGGUAGUCCACGCCGUAAACGAUGAGUGCUAGGUGUUAGGGGGUUUCCGCCCCUUAGUGCUGAAGUUAACGCAUUAAGCACUCCGCCUGGGAGUACG
rnacentral:rRNA from 1 species